GGUUCACACUGUUGCCCAGGCUGGAGUGUAGAAACCUUCCAAGAACUAGUCAACUUUGAUGGGCAAAGUCUGCUGACUCCAAAGGGCUAUAUGGCAUGAGUGAUAGCAGAGUUCACUGGCUUCCAGUCACCAUGGUCAGGCAUCAUCGUUGAACCAGUGUUUCCAGAUAAAAUUAAAACAUGCUACAACAGGAACUAAUCAGGGAGAUGACAGUCCCACGAAGGAAUAAGGUCAGUCCUGGAUUUGCCAUUUUAUGGCCCCAAGUUGCUCAGGGGCUUGCCCCAUACAGACCAGAUUGAAACAGAUUCAAGUUCAUACUUAAAAUAGCAUCACUCUUGAAAAGCAAUAUGCUUUCUUGAAGAACUACAAUGGGACCCCUAAAUUGCAUAGACCUGGGCUUGCCACAUGACUGACUGUGUCACUAAGCAGGUGAGUGUCCUCCUUUGUGUGCUGUCCAGAGGGCCCUCUUUCUCUCCUCUGUCCCUAGCCCUAGAGAAUGGCCUUCACAUUCUGCCUUAAUUGAUCCAGGGUGGGACCCAGGCAUCAGUAUUGUGUUAAAACUCUUUAGGGGAUUCUAAAGCACAAUCAAGGUUGAGAACCCCUUGUCUAUACCAUGCCCUGUUGUUAACUUGGAUUUUUCCUUUUGGAAAAAAAUAGAAAAUCCUCAUGGCCAUCCAGUUUCAAAGUCCUAACCACCUAGAAUAUCUGUACUAAUCCCUAGCGAAUAUCCAAGCAGCCUCCACAAUAUCUAUUACCUCACUCCACCUGCUGUACGUGCACACAAGAGCCGGAAUGUGGAGUGAGGGCAUUUACACAGACAUGAGUCUGUGAAAAAGUUCACUUGUCAGGAGGGUCUCUGGGCUCAUUGUGGACCCACUCCCAGCAGAGAGGUUGUAUGCACAGAAAGGGUAUUCCUGUCCCCACAGGAGCAGGCUAUGUAGAGUGACUGUACCCUGGGUAAGCUUGGAAACUCUUCUGGAACCUUCUAUUCCAUGCUAGAAUAGAGGGUCCAGGGAGGCUGUACUGCCUUCUGGAUGGAAUACUCUACAGUUACUUUUCUUUUCUUUUCUUUUUUCUUUAUUUUGUUUGUUUGCUUUUU